rnacentral:rRNA from 1 species
UCUGGUGAUGAUGGCAUAGAGGAAACACUCCUUCCCAUACCGAACAGGAAAGUUAAGCUCUAUAGCGCCGAUGGUACUGCAUGGGAGACUGUGUGGGAUAGCUCAGUUGGGAGAGCACCUGCC